rnacentral:ribozyme from 1 species
UGUCUCUUUCCUUUCCUCUUUCUCUCAUUCCUCUUAUUUCUCUUCUUUAUUUCUCUUUUCUCCUGUUCUUUCUGUGGGUCGAAAGGUCCAGGAAGGCCUAUGCGCCACAUAGAGAAA